GAUGAAGAACGUAGCGAAAUGCGAUAAGUAGUGUGAAUUGCAGAAUUCGGUGAAUCAUCGAAUCUUUGAACGCACAUUGCGCCCGCCAGUAUUCUGGCGGGCAUGCCUGUUCGAGCGUCAUUUCAACCCUCAGGCCCCCAGUGCCUGGUGUUGGGGAUCGGCCCAGCCUUCCUGUAAGGCCGCCGGCCCCGAAAUCUAGUGGCGGUCUCGCUGUAGUCCUCCUCUGCGUAGUAGCACAACCUCGCAGUUGGAACGCGGCGGUGGCCAUGCCGUUAAACACCCCACUUCUGAAAGUUGACCUCGGAUCAGGUAGGAAUACCCGCUGAACUUAAGCAUAUCAAUAAGCGGAGGA
rnacentral:misc_RNA from 1 species